rnacentral:rRNA from 1 species
AUUGAACGCUGGCGGCAGGCCUAACACAUGCAAGUCGAGCGGGGUUUUCGGACCUAGCGGCGGACGGGUGAGUAAUGCGUAGGAAGCUGCCCGAUAGAGGGGGAUACCAGUUGGAAACGACUGUUAAUACCGCAUAAUGUCUACGGACCAAAGUGUGGGACCUUCGGGCCACAUGCUAUCGGAUGCGCCUACGUGGGAUUAGCUAGUUGGUGAGGUAAUGGCUCACCAAGGCGACGAUCUCUAGCUGGUUUGAGAGGAUGAUCAGCCACACUGGAACUGAGACACGGUCCAGACUCCUACGGGAGGCAGCAGUGGGGAAUAUUGGACAAUGGGCGCAAGCCUGAUCCAGCCAUGCCGCGUGUGUGAAGAAGGCCUUCGGGUUGUAAAGCACUUUCAGCGAGGAGGAAGGGUGGUGUGUUAAUAGCACAUCAUUUUGACGUUACUCGCAGAAGAAGCACCGGCUAACUUCGUGCCAGCCGCCGCCGUAAGAC